rnacentral:rRNA from 1 species
ACUCAAAUGAAUUGACGGGGGCCCGCACAAGCGGAGGAACAUGUGGUUUAAUUCGAUGAUACGCGAGGAACCUUACCCGGGCUCGAACGGCAGAAGAGUAAUGAGGAGACUCAUUAGCCAGCAAUGGCUUCUGUCGAGGUGCUGCAUGGUUGUCGUCAGCUCGUGCCGUGAGGUGUCGGCUUAAGUGCCAUAACGAGCGCAACCCUUAUCGUUAGUUACCAUCAGGUCGUGCUGGGGACUCUAACGAGACUGCCACCGUAAGGUGUGAGGAAGGUGGGGAUGACGUCAAAUCAGCACGGCCCUUACGUCCGGGGCUACACACGUGUUACAAUGGGGGGUACAAAGGGCAGCUACCUAGCGAUAGGAUGCCAAUCUCCAAAACCCCUCCCAGUUCGGAUCGGAGUCUGCAACCCGACUCCGUGAAGCUGGAUUCGCUAGUAAUCGCGCAUCAGCCAUGGCGCGGUGAAUACGUUCCCGGGCCUUGUACACACCGCCCGU